rnacentral:rRNA from 1 species
GAUGAACGCUAGCGGCAGGCUUAAUACAUGCAAGUUGAACGGGAUUCGAGUAGCAAUACUUGAUGAGAGUGGCGCACGGGUGCGUAACACGUAUGCAACCUACCUUUAACUGGCGAAUAGCCCCGGGAAAUCGGGAUUAAUACGCCAUAAGAUCACGAAAGGGCAUCCUUUAGUAAUUAAAGAAUUUCGGUUAGAGAUGGGCAUGCGGGACAUUAGCUAGUUGGUGAGGUAACGGCUCACCAAGGCAACGAUGUCUAGGGGUCCUGAGAGGGUUAUCCCCCACACUGGUACUGAGACACGGACCAGACUCCUACGGGAGGCAGCAGUAAGGAAUAUUGGUCAAUGGGCGCAAGCCUGAACCAGCCAUGCCGCGUGCAGGAAGACGGCCCUAUGGGUUGUAAACUGCUUUUGUCAGGGAAUAAAUGAUGGUACGUGUACUGUCUUGAAGGUACCUGAAGAAUAAGCAUCGGCUAACUCCGUGCCAGCAGCCGCGGUAAUACGGAGGAUGCAAGCGUUAUCCGGAUUCAUUGGGUUUAAAGGGUGCGCAGGCGGAUUGGUAAGUCAGGGGUGAAAUCCCACAGCUCAACUGUGGAACUGCCUUUGAUACUGUCAGUCUAGAGUAUAGUUGAAGUUGGCGGAGUGUGUCAUGUAGCGGUGAAAUGCUUAGAUAUGACACAGAACACCGAUCGC